GGCGCGGUCAGCUAAUAAAGCUCUCGGGCCCAUACCCCGAGCAUGACGGUUAAAGUCCCUCCUCCGCCA
rnacentral:tRNA from 3 species